rnacentral:rRNA from 1 species
UGCCAGCAGCCGCGGUAAGACGGAGGGUGCAAACGUUGUUCGGAAUCACUGGGCAUAAAGAGCACGUAGGCGGUCUGCUAAGUCUGGUGUGAAAGCCCCCGGCUCAACCGGGGAAUUGCAUUGGAUACUGGCAGACUCGAGGACGGUUGGGGUGAGUGGAACUCCUGGUGGAGCGGUGAAAUGCGUAGAUAUCAGGAGGAACACCAGUGGCGAAAGCGGCUCACUGGACCGUCUCUGACGCUGAGGUGCGAAAGCUAGGGUAGCGAACGGGAUUAGAUA